rnacentral:lncRNA from 1 species
UUUUAAAAAAUAAGCCAAAAACUGCAUUUUACCCCUAUGUUCUAUUUUUAGCCAUGGCGGCAAUGUUUUUUGACGAAACAGAAAAUAAAACAUAACCUUUAUUAUACAUACCAUAAGGAUCAUUCAGCUUAAGUUUGGUUGGAAUUGGUUCAGUAGUUUCAGAGGAGAAGAUGUUUGAAAUAGUUUACACCAGACGGACGAAGACGACG